GAUGAACGCUGGCGGCGUGCCUAAUACAUGCAAGUCGAGCGAACGGACGAGAAGUUUGUUUCUCUCACGUUUGCGGCGGACGGGUGUGUCACACGUGGAUCACCUCCCUAUCAGACUGGGAUCACUUCGGGAAACCGUCGCUUAUACCGGAUAAUAUUUUGCUCCGCAUUGUUCAAAAGUGAGAGACGGUCUUUCUGUCUCUUAUAGAUGCAUCGCCGCUGCAUUGGCUAGUUGUGAAGGUAACGGCUUAUCAAGGCAGCGCUGCAUAGCCGAGCGACGAGGCUGAUAGCCCGCCCGAGAGGUGGGACGCGGACCUGACUCCUGAGGGAGGCAGCAGUAGGGAAUGUGCCGCAAUGGGCGAAAGCCUGACGGAGCAACGCCGCGUGAGUGAUGAAGGUCUUCGGAUCGUAAAACUCUGUUAUGAGGGAAGAACAUAUGUGGAAGUAACUGAGCAGAGCGUGACGGUAACUAAUCAGAAAGCCACGGCUAACUACGUG
rnacentral:rRNA from 1 species